UACGGAGGAUCCAAGCGUUAUCCGGAUUUAUUGGGUUUAAAGGGUGCGUAGGCGGCCUAUUAAGUCAGGGGUGAAAGACGGUAGCUUAACUAUCGCAGUGCCCUUGAUACUGAUGGGCUUGAAUAUACUAGAGGUAGGCGGAAUGUGACAAGUAGCGGUGAAAUGCAUAGAUAUGUCACAGAACACCAAUUGCGAAGGCAGCUUACUAUUGGUAUUAUUGACGCUGAGGCACGAAAAGCGUGGGGGAUCAAACAGG
rnacentral:rRNA from 1 species